rnacentral:rRNA from 1 species
CAGGGAUUGCCCUAGUAACGGCGAGUGAAGCGGCAACAGCUCAAAUUUGAAAUCUGGCUCUCGGGCCCGAGUUGUAAUUUGUAGAGGAUGCUUUUGAUGCGGUGCCUUCCGAGUUCCCUGGAACGGGACGCCAUAGAGGGUGAGAGCCCCGUCUGGUUGGAUGCCAAAUCUCUGUAAAGCUCCUUCGACGAGUCGAGUAGUUUGGGAAUGCUGCUCUAAAUGGGAGGUAUAUGUCUUCUAAAGCUAAAUACCGGCCAGAGACCGAUAGCGCACAAGUAGAGUGAUCGAAAGAUGAAAAGCACUUUGAAAAGAGAGUUAAAAAGUACGUGAAAUUGUUGAAAGGGAAGCGUUUAUGACCAGACUUGGGCUUGGAUAAUCAUCUGGGGUUCUCCCCAGUGCACUUUUCCAGUCCAGGCCAGCAUCAGUUUUCGCCGGGGGAUAAAGGCUUCGGAAUUGUGGCUCCCUCCGGGGAGUGUUAUAGCCCGUUGCGUAAUACCCUGGCGGGGACUGAGGUUCGCGCAUCUGCAAGGGGGGGGGAAUAACCCCCCUCAACGACC